AGGCUGAUCAGGGAAGAUUAUAAGUUCAGGGGUCGAAUUGAUAUUUAAGUACUAGGGUUAGUAUGCUUAAACACAAGUCUGAAUUGCGCCGCUGUGCAGGAGUAGAAAAGAAAUGGAGGCCAUUACAAAUUUCUUAGAACAGAAGACCCAAUCGCUUCCAUUAAUCAAAUUAUCAAGGAAAACUAGAGGCACUGUUCAAUUUGUUGAGAGAUUCUUAGGUAGACUCGGUCCAUCAUCCGUAUAAGAAAAAAAUAUGAAAAACAAUAAAAUUGCCGUUUGCAUAAGAACCCACAUUGUUUAAGCAAUCAUACAUGCCAUUUUCACUGUCAAUUGCUGCCAAUACGCGAAAGAAGGCGCUGGGUGCUGUGAUUUUGGGGGCUGCCUGAUGAUUAUAGUGUGGCUGGGGCAUAUGCGUAGGGUAAGUUUUCGAUUAUGAAAAUCCGGAAAAAGAACGUGGAAAAGGAACGGUUACAAUUGCAUAGGCAUAGGCCGAAUCUUGUAUUUAGUUCCCAACCUGGAGUUCUUUGGGUCUGCAACCAGGAGACGCAAGAUCCGCAAGGACACAAGUUUUGCUUCUGCUGAACCUAACAAAAUCAAACCAGCAGCAUUGAAGCUUAAACUGCAGUAGUACUCAUCUCUACCAUGUACAAUGAAAAUUAAUACUAGUUUUGGAAGGAGCUAGACCUGGGUAUAUAUAUUGAUAAGGUUAUAGAUUA